AGACAAUCUACUUUUCAUUCUUGAUACUGAUGUAUGUUUCUUUUAUAUAUCUCCUUCAGAUUUGCAGUUGAUGCUAUGGUUUUUGUGUGUUCAUUUUUUGUGACACUGGGUAUGGAACCUAAGGCCUUAAAGCAUGCAAAACAAACACUCUGUACCUUAGUCCUGAUACUCGUAACAGUAGAAAAAGUUAGCCAGAUGUGGUGGCUUAUGCUUGACAUCCUACCUACUGCAGGAAGAUUGUAAGCCAGAGGCCAGCCUGGGCAACUUAAUGAGAUUCUGUCUUAAAAUUUAAGUAAUAAUAAUUUUAAAAAAAAUGUCUGUGGUGGAAUGUCCCUGGGUCUAGCCUCUAGUACCAUAAAAUAAGUAAAUUAAUUAAAUGAAAUAAAAAACAGUAAUGGCCAGAGAUGUAACUCAGUUGUAGAGUACUCAUGGGUUCAUUCCCCAGCAAACAAAAAUGAAAGUAAAAAUGUUGUCAAACUAGGCUGGGGUUGUGACUCAGGGUAGAGUGCUUGCCUGGCACAUGUGAGGCACUGGGUUUGCUCCUCAGCUCCACAUAAAAAUAGAUAGAUAAAAUAAAGGUAUUGUGUCAAUUUACAGGAAAAUAUUUUAAAAAAAAAUUGUUGUCAAACUUACCAAGACAAGGACUUGACCUGGAGUAGAUUACUGUCUAGUGUACUGUGCUUUGUUUCAGUGUAUGUGUGUGUGUAAAUGUCCUGAAGUGUAAAUUUAUAGUCAAUUAAAAGACAUGUAAGUAGAAUGUCUCUUUUUCAGAAUGUGCUGAGUUUGUGGGAUGUCUACACGCUCACUCCCAUAUGGAACUGGCCCUCCCUUCACAUAGAGGAGUUUCUCCUCACUACAGAAGCAGAGUCUCCUUCGUCAGUCACCUGGUAUGUCAUGACUGGCUAGUAGUAAUUUUCCAUCUCUUAGCACCAGGUUCCUUAUCUGAUUUUGUUCAGACUAAUGUUCUAAACUACACUGUGAUUUGUCUGAGAGGAAGGACGAACUUGUCUGCAUAUUUCCAUUGGAAACAACUAGACAUUAUGAUCUUCCAAGUAACUAUGUUAGAAACAGAAUGUCAAUCUAGGCUAUAAACAUGGAGAAAGAGUCCAACAUCUCUUCUGUAAAUCCUUUGCAACUUUAUGCAAGAGUAUCACUUUAACAUAUCUAGCAACUGUCAAAGCCUGUUUGAUUACUUGGAGGUUUUUUCUCUUUUAGGCAAGGGAUUACAAAUCUCAAAUUAGUAGCUCUGACAACUGCAAUUGAUAAAAAGGUACUGGAAAUUUUUAUUUCAUGUUUGUCUAUAUCGCAUUAGAAAUAGCAUUUAUAAAUACAAAAAUAAAUGUUAAGCAAUGCUCACAAUGUAUAAACUCUUAGUUCACACAGACACUUCACAAAUCAGAAAGAAUUCUAUAGAACUCCUUCUUUCCAUUUAAAAAAAGUGAUAUAAAUCUUAGCUGCACUUUUUAAAUAUAGUGUUUUAGAAAUCAAAUAGUCCCUAAGUGUCUAUAUAUAUAAUCCUGGUGACAAAGGAUUACAUUCACCCUAAAUAAAAGUUGUAGAGUAGACUUAGGUAUAUGGGUUUUUAUUCAACAGAUGUAAAGAUGGAAUAAAACAUAAUUUUAUAUGUAACAUUUAAAUAAUACAAUAACAAGUUUACUUGAAAAGGAAUUUUUUGUGUUUAGCUUUGUGUACCAGGUGUGAAAUGUGUGACCUAGAUUGUCUGGUGCUCUUUUGUGCGUGUAGUUUUAUAAUGACCCACUCAAUUAGUUGCUUUUCUAUUUCUCUUAGAUGAGAAAUCUCAUGGUUUAUUCAUU
rnacentral:lncRNA from 1 species